AUUGAACGCUGGCGGCAUGCCUUACACAUGCAAGUCGAACGGUAACGGGCCUUCGGGUGCCGACGAGUGGCGAACGGGUGAGUAAUGUAUCGGAGCGUACCUUUCAGUGGGGGAUAACGUAGCGAAAGUUACGCUAAUACCGCAUAUUCUGUGAGCAGGAAAGCAGGGGAUCGCAAGACCUUGCGCUGAUUGAGCGGCCGAUAUCAGAUUAGCUAGUUGGUGAGGUAAAGGCUCACCAAGGCGACGAUCUGUAGCGGGUCUGAGAGGAUGAUCCGCCACACUGGAACUGAGACACGGUCCAGACUCCUACGGGAGGCAGCAGUGGGGAAUUUUGGACAAUGGGGGCAACCCUGAUCCAGCCAUGCCGCGUGAGUGAAGAAGGCCUUCGGGUUGUAAAGCUCUUUCGGCCGGGAAGAAAUCGUAUGGGUUAACACCCUGUGCGGAUGACGGUACCGGCAUAAGAAGCACCGGCUAACUACGUGCCAGCCGCCGCAGUAACAC
rnacentral:rRNA from 1 species